AAUCAACGCUGGCGGCGUGCCUAACACAUGCAAGUCGCACGAGAAAGGGGAGCAAUCCCUGAGUAAAGUGGCGCACGGGUGAGUAACACGUGAAUCAUCUACCUCCGAGUGGGGAAUAACUGAGAGAAAUCUUAGCUAAUACCGCAUAACACUUACGAGUCAAAGCAGCAAUGCGCUUGGAGAGGAGUUCGCGGCCGAUUAGUUAGUUGGCGGGGUAAUGGCCCACCAAGACGAUGAUCGGUAUCCGGCCUGAGAGGGCGCACGGACACACUGGAACUGAAACACGGUCCAGACUCCUACGGGAGGCAGCAGUGGGGAAUUUUGCGCAAUGGGGGAAACCCUGACGCAGCAACGCCGCGUGGAGGAUGAAGUAUCUUGGUACGUAAACUCCUUUCGAUUGGGAAGAUAAUGACGGUACCAAUAGAAGAAGCCCCGGCUAACUUCGUGCCAGCAGCCGCAGUAAC
rnacentral:rRNA from 1 species